rnacentral:rRNA from 1 species
CCUACGGGCGGCAGCAGUGAGGAAUAUUGGUCAAUGGACGAGAGUCUGAACCAGCCAAGUAGCGUGAAGGAUGACUGCCCUAUGGGUUGUAAACUUCUUUUAUAAAGGAAUAAAACGAGGCACGUGUGCCUCUUUGCAUGUACUUUAUGAAUAAGGAUCGGCUAACUCCGCGCCAGCAGCCGCGGUAAUACGGAGGAUCCGAGCGUUAUCCGGAUUUAUUGGGUUUAAAGGGAGCGUAGAUGGGUUGUUAAGUCAGUUGUGAAAGUUUGCGGCUCAACCGUAAAAUUGCAAUUGAUACUGGCAGUCUUGAGUACAGUUGAGGUAGGCGGAAUUCGUGGUGUAGCGGUGAAAUGCUUAGAUAUCACGAAGAACCCCGAUUGCGAAGGCAGCUUACUAAACUGUGACUGACAUUGAUGCUCGAAAGUGUGGGUAUCAAACAGGAUUAGAUACCCUUGUAGUC